rnacentral:rRNA from 1 species
GUUAAGGUCUUCAGUAGGUAGACUGCGGAAGGAUAUUA